rnacentral:rRNA from 1 species
UACGGGGGGGGCAAGCGUUGUUCGGAAUUACUGGGCGUAAAGGGCUCGUAGGCGGCCAACUAAGUCGGACGUGAAAUCCCCAGGCUCAACCUGGGAACUGCGUCCGAUACUGGAUGGCUUGAAUUCGGGAGAGGGAUGCGGAAUUCCAGGUGUAGCGGUGAAAUGCGUAGAUAUCUGGAGGAACACCGGUGGCGAAGGCGGCAUCCUGGACCGGCAUUGACGCUGAGGAGCGAAAGCCAGGGGAGCAAACGGG